ACCCAGAUAGCUUAAAUAGAGCGUGACACUGAAGAUGUCUAGGUGAUUUCAGAAUCUUUGGGUA
rnacentral:tRNA from 1 species